CAGCUCAUUCCAGCCUGGGUGGUUUUAAGAAGCUUUCACUAUAUACUUUCUUUUAUGUCUAAUUUUUGAGAACCAUAUUGAAAAACAGUCUAUUAAAUUGUGUACUAGUACCUCCACAGCAGCACAACCCACUCUGCAACGAAUCGUGUUGGAGGCUGUUCCUGUGGGCAUCAUACAGCCCAUGGGCAUCAUACAAUGCUUCUGUGAUGCAGUGUGACAACUCUCGAGAACCUGGAGCGAGCCCCAAACAGAACCCUCUCGCCGUGGACGACCGUCAUCGGCUGGAAGAGGCGACCAGAGUGAUGCAGGAGGACUUGAGAAGCAGAAUGAUAUGAAGCAUUGAAAUGAAGAAGCCUACAUGCCAGUCAACAUUCAUUAAAUAAAUUGGGCUGCCUCGACCCCACCCCAGUUGCACUCCCCAGUCACUGUCUCACUCUAGUCACUCUCUCACUCCAGUCACUCUCUCACUCCAGUCACU
rnacentral:lncRNA from 1 species